GUACCGUCCAAGGCUCCAUGAAGUUUAAUCCCUCCACUCACAAAGGAGCUAGUCUGUCAGCCUGAAUCGAAAUACGUCCCUUCGUACUAGCCGGCGCGUUAGUACGAAACUGUGCGAACGAUAUCGAAUCACUGGGCUUAAAAGAGUGCGUAGGCGGUAUCUAAGUCAGGUGUGAAAUAUUCUCUGCUCAACCCGGGAGACUGCGCUUGAAACUGGAUGACUGGAGGGAUGCAGGGGUGUGUGGAACUUCCGGUGGAGCGGUGAAAUGUGUAGAUAUCGGAAGGAGCGCCAGCAGCGAAAGCGGCACACUGGGCAUCUACUGACGCUGAGGCACGAAAGCUAGGGGAGUGAACGGGAUUAGAUACCCCCGGUAAUCCUAGCCGUAAACACUGAACACUGGGGGAGGGAGGCUUCGGCCUUCUUUCUCGUAGCGAAAGCGUUAAGUGUUCCGCCUGGGGAGUAUGGUCGCAAGGCUGAAACUCAAAGGAAUUGACGGGGGCUCACACAAGCGGUGGAGCAUGUGGCUUAAUUCGAGGCAACGCGAAGAACCUUAUCCUGGGUUUGACAUGUACGGAUUAACCCUAUGAAAGUAGGGCCACGCUCGCAAGAGUGGAACGUGCUCAGGUGCUGCAUGGCUGUCGUCAGCUCGUGUCGUGAGAUGUCGCGUUAAGUCGCUAAACGAGCGAAACCCCUAUCUUUAGUUGCCAGCGAGUCAUGUCGGGGACUCUAAAGAGACUGCCGGUGUCAAACCGGAGGAAGGCGGGGAGGACGUCAAGUCCUCAUGGCCUUUAUGCCCAGGGCUGCACACGUGCUACAAUGGGGCGUACAAAGCGCCGCGAAGUUGCGAAACCAAGCUAAUCGCAAAAAGCGCCCCCCACUUCGGAUUGCAGGCUGCAAUUCGCCUGCAUGAAGCCGGAAUCGCUAGUAAUCGCCGAUCAGCAUUGCGGCGGUGAAUGUGUUCUUGAGCCUUGCACUCACCGCCCGUC
rnacentral:rRNA from 1 species